AGGCAGCAGUUGGGAAUCUUCCGCAAUGGGCGAAAGCCUGACGGAGCGACGCCGCGUGAGCGAAGAAGGCCUUCGGGUCGUAAGGCUCUGUUGUGAGGGACGAAGGAGCGCCGUUCGAAGAGGGCGGCGCGGUGACGGUACCUCACGAGGAAGCCCCGGCUAACUACGUGCCAGCAGCCGCGGUAAUACGUAGGGGGCGAGCGUUGUCCGGAAUUAUUGGGCGUAAAGCGCGCGCAGGCGGUUCCUUAAGUCUGAUGUGAAAGCCCACGGCUCAACCGUGGAGGGUCAUUGGAAACUGGGGGACUUGAGUGCAGGAGAAGAGAGCGGAAUUCCACGUGUAGCGGUGAAAUGCGUAGAGAUGUGGAGGAACACCAGUGGCGAAGGCGGCUUUCUGGUCUGUAACUGACGCUGAUGUGCGAAAGCGUGGGGAUCAAACAGGAUUAGAUACCCCAGUAGUCC
rnacentral:rRNA from 1 species